AAAAGAGGGUUAAUUUGAGUGCUAGUUAAUUUCCACAUCAAAUCGUAGUCAAAGAUGGAUUCCUAGAAGGAUGAGGAUUUCGACUCAAGCAAGGUUUCCUACUUGACGAAGGAGAAUUAAAGUCAAAAAAUCAGCUCAAGUGAAGAAAUCUUAUCCAAAACAUCAUCCAUAACUUUAUCUUAGCUUAUCUUAUCCAAACAAACCUUAUCCUAUCCUAUCUUAUCCAAAUCUGAAUUCAUUGAUAUUUUAGCUGCAAAGUGGGGUUCCUAACUAGAUUAGAAUGCUUAAUAUUAGAUUUCUAGAAGCCCUAUCCCUGCACACAUAAGGUGCCGCACCUAUCCCCUUUCUAGAACUUGUUUUCCUUGCCUUGCAAGGCUUUCUAGAAGCCUUAUCCACCCUAUCCCUUACCUGCCGCACCUAGGAGGCCUUUUCCCAUUCAAAAUAUGAUUGUUUUAAGCCUUUUCCUGAUGGGUUUUAAUUAUACAAGUCCAUAUCUGAUUCACCUAGGGUUUUAAGUGCCUAUAUAUACUCAUAUAAACCCCUAGAUCAGAUCACCACCUCUCAUACACAUCAAUUCACGCCAGAAAUCAUUCCUUGCUCUCUGCCGCACCCUUCCACCACCAUAUUCCAUAUUUUCUGCCCUAAAUCAUCCCUAGCCGCACCACCCAUCAACCCUAAACACCAUCACACAUUCCCCAUCCAUUCUACGCCAUCCAUAACCCCAAAGAACCUGUCCAAAGUCCAAGUGCCGCAGCAAGGAGGAAGGGAGACUCGUGGAUGCACCUGUUGUCCAAAUUGGAUCGUCUAGGUGUUUUCUUUCCUUGGUUUUUAAUGUCUAAAUUUAUGUAUCUUUGCUUUGCGAGUAUGAGGAACUAAACCCCCCUUGGCUAGGGGGGGAUUCAAAACCAUGUUUAUGCUUGCUAUAUGAUUUGAUUACUUCUAAUUGCGUUUCAUAAGUUGUGAAUUCAAUUUACUUAUCUAUGUGAAUUAAAACUGGUUUGUGUAUGUUGGUAAGAGGGCACGCUUAGUUUGCAUGCAUGAAUUUGAUGCUAGGAUAUAAGGAAAUUUCAAUUAAUUGUUAUGAACUUAUAUUCACAAGUAGUAAAGGUUGUUGAUCACAAUCGCGUUAAGUAAAUUCUUGGCAUAAGUAUAUUGCGCUUUCAUAGUUAUGAUGCGAAAUAUAUAAGCACACAAAUUAAACCCUCUUUUUAUCAAUUGUAGCAAAAUACGUAAGUAGGGAUCGUUCUAGGUCGGGGAUUAGGAGGGAUCGCAAAAUCACUUGGAAUCAAGGAAGAAAAUAUCGGUGAUAUCGGAAAUAUCGGUAGUCCGAAAACACGGAAAUAUCGAUGGAAAUAUCGGUAAAAUAUCGAUAUCGAUAAAAAUUACAUGGAAACCACGGAAAUUGUAAAAAAAACUUGGAAAUUUUUAUUGAAACUUUGUAGGAUGUUUAUUUAGUCAAUUAUCUAUUAGUUUAUCACAAAAA
rnacentral:lncRNA from 1 species